rnacentral:tRNA from 1 species
AGAGGGUUACCGGACAUGACCGUGUUGUACUCAUAACCCAAAGGUCGCUGGUUCAAAUCCAGCCCCCGCAACCA